GCCGCCGUAGCUCAGUGGUAGAGCAUUGGACGCGCUAUUCAAAGGUCACAGGUUCGGUCCCUGCCGGCGGCA
rnacentral:tRNA from 1 species